rnacentral:tRNA from 1 species
GGGGAUUUAGCUCAAUGGUAGAGCACUUGCCUAGCAAGCUCAAGGUCCUGGGUUCAAUCCCCAGCUCCG